rnacentral:misc_RNA from 1 species
AGGAGUCUAACAUGUAUGCGAGUAUUUGGGUGGCAAACCCUUAUGCGUAAUGAAAGUGAAAGGGGAGGGAUAUUUGGAGCACCUAGCGGCCUGGAUUUCUUUGAAGGGUCUGAGUAAGAGCAUAUAUGUUGGGACCCGAAAGAUGGUGAACUAUGCCUGAAUAGGGUGAAGCCAGAGGAAACUCUGGUGGAGGCUCGUAGCGAUUCUGACGUGCAAAUCGAUCGUCAAAUUUGGGUAUAGGGGCGAAAGACUAAUCGAACCAUCUAGUAGCUGGUUCCCUC